rnacentral:rRNA from 1 species
GAUGGACGCUGGCGGCGUGCCUAAUACAUGCAAGUCGAGCGAACGGACGAGAAGCUUGCUUCUCUGAUGUUAGCGGCGGACGGGUGAGUAACACGUGGAUAACCUACCUAUAAGACUGGGAUAACUUCGGGAAACCGGAGCUAAUACCGGAUAAUAUUUUGAACCGCAUGGUUCAAAAGUGAAAGACGGUCUUGCUGUCACUUAUAGAUGGAUCCGCGCUGCAUUGGCUAGUUGGUAAGGUAACGGCUUACCAAGGCAACGAUGCAUAGCCGACCUGAGAGGGUGAUCGGCCACACUGGAACUGAGACACGGUCCAGACUCCUACGGGAGGCAGCAGUAGGGAAUCUUCCGCAAUGGGCGAAAGCCUGACGGAGCAACGCCGCGUGAGUGAUGAAGGUCUUCGGAUCGUAAAACUCUGUUAUUAGGGAAGAACAUAUGUGUAAGUAACUGUGCACAUCUUGACGGUACCUAAUCAGAAAGCCACGGCUAACUACGUGCCAGCAGCCGCGGUAAUACGUAGGUGGCAAGCGUUAUCCGGAAUUAUUGGGCGUAAAGCGCGCGUAGGCGGUUUUUUAAGUCUGAUGUGAAAGCCCACGGCUCAACCGUGGAGGGUCAUUGGAAACUGGAAAACUUGAGUGCAGAAGAGGAAAGUGGAAUUCCAUGUGUAGCGGUGAAAUGCGCAGAGAUAUGGAGGAACACCAGUGGCGAAGGCGACUUUCUGGUCUGUAACUGACGCUGAUGUGCGAAAGCGUGGGGAUCAAACAGGAUUAGAUACCCUGGUAGUCCACGCCGUAAACGAUGAGUGCUAAGUGUUAGGGGGUUUCCGCCCCUUAGUGCUGCAGCUAACGCAUUAAGCACUCCGCCUGGGGAGUACGACCGCAAGGUUGAAACUCAAAGGAAUUGACGGGGACCCGCACAAGCGGUGGAGCAUGUGGUUUAAUUCGAAGCAACGCGAAGAACCUUACCAAAUCUUGACAUCCUUUGACAACUCUAGAGAUAGAGCCUUCCCCUUCGGGGGACAAAGUGACAGGUGGUGCAUGGUUGUCGUCAGCUCGUGUCGUGAGAUGUUGGGUUAAGUCCCGCAACGAGCGCAACCCUUAAGCUUAGUUGCCAUCAUUAAGUUGGGCACUCUAAGUUGACUGCCGGUGACAAACCGGAGGAAGGUGGGGAUGACGUCAAAUCAUCAUGCCCCUUAUGAUUUGGGCUACACACGUGCUACAAUGGACAAUACAAAGGGCAGCGAAACCGCGAGGUCAAGCAAAUCCCAUAAAGUUGUUCUCAGUUCGGAUUGUAGUCUGCAACUCGACUACAUGAAGCUGGAAUCGCUAGUAAUCGUAGAUCAGCAUGCUACGGUGAAUACGUUCCCGGGUCU